UGGCAGUGUCUUAGCUGGUUGUUGUGUGCGAUGAUUGAAGCAGCAAUCAGCAAGCAUACUGCUGCA
rnacentral:pre_miRNA from 1 species